rnacentral:rRNA from 1 species
UACGUAGGGUGCAAGCGUUAUCCGGAAUUAUUGGGCGUAAAGAGCUCGUAGGCGGUUUGUCGCGUCUGCUGUGAAAACUGGAGGCUCAACCUCCAGCCUGCAGUGGGUACGGGCAGACUAGAGUGCGGUAGGGGAGAUUGGAAUUCCUGGUGUAGCGGUGGAAUGCGCAGAUAUCAGGAGGAACACCGAUGGCGAAGGCAGAUCUCUGGGCCGUAACUGACGCUGAGGCUCGAAAGCGUGGGGAGCAAACAGG